AAAGAAAGCGUAAUAGCUCACUGGUCGAGUCGGCCUGCGCGGAAGAUGUAACGGGGCUAAACCAUGCACCGAAGCUGCGGCAGCGACGCUGAUGCGUUGUUGGGUAGGGGAGCGUUCUGUAAGCCUGCGAAGGUGGCCUGUGAGGGUUGCUGGAGGUAUCAGAAGUGCGAAUGCUGACAUAAGUAACGAUAAAGCGGGUGAAAAGCCCGCUCGCCGGAAGACCAAGGGUUCCUGUCCAACGUUAAUCGGGGCAGG
rnacentral:rRNA from 1 species